GCCUUCGUGGUGUAGUUAACACUCUCGACUCGUAUUCGAGAGGUCCGUGGUUCGAUUCCCGGCGAGGGCA
rnacentral:tRNA from 1 species